rnacentral:tRNA from 1 species
CAAAGAAUAGUUUAGUUUAGAAUCCUAGCUUUGGGAGCUAGGGGUUGGGGUUAGAGCCCCCAUUCUUUGA